GCUAAGCCCUAAACAUUGAAAAGCCAUCAUACCAUGCUUUCCGCCAGAGAAUUACGAGCAACAAGCUUAAAACUCAAAGGACUUGACGGUGUCCCACAUCGACCUAGAGGAGCCUGUCCUAUAAUCGAUACCCCCCGUUCCACCCAACCCUCACUAGCAAUAUACCAGCCUAUAUACCGCCGUCGACAGUCUACCCCAUGAGGGCUAAACAGUAGAUACAAUAGUUAACAACUAAUACGUCAGGUCAAGGUGUAGCAAAUGUGAAGGAAGAGAUUGGCUACAUUUUUUAUUCUAAAAAACACGAAAUGCAUCAUGAAACACUGCAUGAAGGCGAAUUUAGCAGUAAAAUAAAUAAGAGUAUUUAUUUUAACACCGCUCUGGGACGCG
rnacentral:rRNA from 1 species